AACGAACGCUGGCGGCAUGCCUAACACAUGCAAGUCGAACGAGACCUUCGGGUCUAGUGGCGCACGGGUGCGUAACGCGUGGGAACCUGCCCUUAGGUUCGGAAUAACUCCCCGAAAGGGGUGCUAAUACCGGAUAAUGUCUUAGGACCAAAGAUUUAUCGCCUUUGGAUGGGCCCGCGUUGGAUUAGCUAGUUGGUAGGGUAAAAGCCUACCAAGGCGACGAUCCAUAGCUGGUCUGAGAGGAUGAUCAGCCACACUGGGACUGAGACACGGCCCAGACUCCUACGGGAGGCAGCAGUGGGGAAUAUUGGACAAUGGGCGAAAGCCUGAUCCAGCAAUGCCGCGUGAGUGAUGAAGGCCUUAGGGUUGUAAAGCUCUUUUACCCGGGAUGAUAAUGACAGUACCGGGAGAAUAAGCUCCGGCUAACUCCGU
rnacentral:rRNA from 1 species